GGAAGGACACAAGCAUUGAGGAGCCAUUUGACCUGCCACUACACUGAUACGGUAUUUGGCAAAGGCAGGAGGCAUCUGCAAGCAACCAGUCAUUCCGAUUCUCAACCAAUCCUUCUAGUCAGCCCAUUUCUAGUGUCUUAUCUUGCAAGUUUUUUUCAGUAAAGCACAAUAAACACGCAGUUUCGUUCA